rnacentral:rRNA from 1 species
UACGUAGGGACCAAGCGUUGUUCGGAUUUACUGGGCGUAAAGGGCGCGUAGGCGGCGUGUUAAGUCACUUGUGAAAUCUCUGAGCUUAACUCAGAACGGUCAAGUGAUACUGAUGUGCUAGAGUGCAGAAGGGGCAACCGGAAUUCUUGGUGUAGCGGUGAAAUGCGUAGAUAUCAGGAGGAAUACCGAUGGCGAAGGCAGGUCUCUGGGCUGACACUGACGCUCAUGCACGAAAGCGUGGGGAGCAAACAGG